UACAGAGGGGGCAAGCGUUGUUCGGAAUUACUGGGCGUAAAGGGCGCGUAGGCGGCCUGCUAAGUCGAACGUGAAAUCCCCGGGCUCAACCCGGGAACUGCGUCCGAUACUGGCAGGCUUGAAUCCGGGAGAGGGAUGCGGAAUUCCAGGUGUAGCGGUGAAAUGCGUAGAUAUCUGGAGGAACACCGGUGGCGAAGGCGGCAUCCUGGACCGGCAUUGACGCUGAGGUGCGAAAGCGUGGGGAGCAAACAGG
rnacentral:rRNA from 1 species